rnacentral:rRNA from 1 species
CCGACACGACCGUACCGCAAACCGACACUGGUGCGCGAGAUGAGUAUUCUCAGGCGCUUGAGAGAACUCGGGAGAAGGAACUCGGCAAAUUGACACCGUAACUUCGGAAGAAGGUGUGCCUUUAGUAGGUGAAGUCCCUCGCGGAUGGAGCCCAAUGAGGUUGCAAAGAAUCGGUGGCUGCGACUGUUUAAUAAAAACACAGCACUCUGCAAACACGAAAGUGGACGUAUAGGGUGUGACGCCUGCCCGGUGCUGGAAGAUUAAGUGAUGGGGUGCAAGCUCUUGAUCGAAGUCCCAGUAAACGGCGGCCGUAACCAUAACGUCCUAAGGUAGCGAAAUUCCUUGUCGGGUAAGUUCCGACCUGCACGAAUGGCGUAACGAUGGCCACACUGUCUCCUCCCGAGACUCAGCGAAGUUGAAAUGUUUGUGAUGAUGCAAUCUCCCCGCGGAAAGACGGAAAGACCCCAUGAACCUUUACUGUAGCUUUGUAUUGGACUUUGAGCGGAUCUGUGUAGGAUAGGUGGGAGGCUUUGAAGCCGGGUCGCUAGAUCUGGUGGAGCCAACGUUGAAAUACCACCCUGGUGCGUUUGAGGUUCUAACCUAGGCCCGUUAUCCGGGCCGGGGACAGUGCAUGGUAGGCAGUUUGACUGGGGCGGUCUCCUCCCAAAGCGUAACGGAGGAGUUCGAAGGUACGCUAGUUACGGUCGGACAUCGUGACGAUAGUGCAAUGGCAUAAGCGUGCUUAACUGCGAGACUGACAAGUCGAGCAGAUGCGAAAGCAGGACAUAGUGAUCCGGUGGUUCUGUAUGGAAGGGCCAUCGCUCAACGGAUAAAAGGUACUCUGGGGAUAACAGGCUGAUACCGCCCAAGAGUUCAUAUCGACGGCGGUGUUUGGCACCUCGAUGUCGGCUCAUCUCAUCCUGGGGCUGUAGCCGGUCCCAAGGGUAUGGCUGUUCGCCAUUUAAAGAGGUACGUGAGCUGGGUUUAAAACGUCGUGAGACAGUUUGGUCCCUAUCUUCCGUGGGCGCUGCAGAUUUGAGGAAGCCUGCUCCUAGUACGAGAGGACCGGAGUGGACGCACCUCUGGUGUACCUGUUGUCACGCCAGUGGCAUUGCAGGGUAGCUAAGUGCGGAAGAGAUAACCGCUGAAAGCAUCUAAGCGGGAAACUCGUUUCAAGAUGAGAUCUGCCGGGGCCUUGAGCCCCCUGAAGAGUCGUUCUAGACCAGGACGUUGAUAGGUCAGGUGUGGAAGCGCAGUAAUGCGUUAAGCUAACUGAUACUAAUUGCUCGUGCGGCUUGACC